UUCCAGCUCCAAUAGCGUAUAUUAAAGUUGUUGCAGCCAAAAAGCUCGUAGUUGAAUUUCGGGACCAAUAUGUCGGUCGUACUUUGUACGGUACUAGCAUUAUUGGUUUCUCCCUUCUGAAGAACCGCGAUGUCAUUAAUUUGGUGUCGUGGGGAAUCAGGACUGUUACUUUGAAAAAAUUAGAGUGUUUAAAGCAGGCUCGCGCUUGAAUACAUUAGCAUGGAAUAAUGAAAUAGGACGUUUGAUUCUAUUUUGUUGGUUUCUAGGAUCGACGUAAUGAUUAAUAGGGAUAGUUGGGGGCAUUAGUAUUCAAUUGUCAGAGGUGAAAUUCUUGGAUUUAUUGAAGACCAACUACUGCGAAAGCAUUUGCCAAGGAUGUUUUCAUUAACCAAGAACGAAAGUUAGGGGAUCGAAGACGAUCAGAUACCGUCGUAGUCUUAACCAUAAACUAUGCCGACUAGGGAUCGG
rnacentral:rRNA from 1 species